rnacentral:rRNA from 1 species
AAUCAACGCUGGCGGCGUGCCUAACACAUGCAAGUCGAACGCGAGAGGGGCUUCGGCCCUGAUUGAGUGGCAAACGGGUGAGUAACGCGUGGGUGACCUACCUUCGAGUGGGGGAUAACGUUCCGAAAGGGACGCUAAUACCGCAUAACAUCCUGUCUUUGGACAGACGGAGAUCAAAGCCGGGGAUCGUAAGACCUGGCGCUUGAGGAGGGGCCCGCGUCCGAUUAGCUAGUUGGUGGGGUAAUGGCUCACCAAGGCAACGAUCGGUAGCCGGCCUGAGAGGGCGGACGGCCACACUGGGACUGAGACACGGCCCAGACUCCUACGGGAGGCAGCAGUGGGGAAUUGUUCGCAAUGGGCGCAAGCCUGACGACGCAACGCCGCGUGAAGGAUGAAGGUCUUCGGAUUUGUAAACUUCUGUUGAUCGGGACGAACAGCCAAGGGAUCAAUACCCC